rnacentral:lncRNA from 1 species
CCUCAAAAUCUAAUACCCGGGUAUUACAUUCAGGAACCCCGAAAACCCCAAAUAUUGUUUUUUAAUUUUUCAUUUUUUUUUGGUCUAACUAACUCCAAAAGGUUGGAAAAGAGUUCCUACAAAGGUUUUGGACAGUGAUUUUAACCCUAACGCCAAAAACCUUAAACCUUACCCUAGCCCCAUAACCUAAUUCCCGGGUAUUACCUUCAGGAAGCCCGAACACCCCAAAUAUUUGUUUUUCAUUUUACAUUUUUGUUGGUGUAACCAACUCCAAAAGGUUGGAAAAGAGUUCCUACAAAGGUUUUGGACAGUGAUUUUAACCCUAACCCCUAAAAAUUUAAACCUUACCCUGGCAUUAAAAUCUAAUACCCGGGUAUUACAUUAAGGAAGCCUGAACACCCCAAAUAUUUCUUUUUCAUUUUUUAUUUUUUUUUGUCUAACUAACUCCAAAAGGUUGGAAAAGAGUUCCUACAAAGGUUUUGGACAGUGAUUUUAACCCUAACGCCAAAAACCUUAAACCUUUCCCUAGUCCCAAAACCUAAUACCCGGGUAUUACUUUCAGGGAGCCCGGAAACCCCCAAUAAUAUUUUUUUCUUUUUUCAUAUUUUUUUGGUCUAACUAACUCCAAAAGGUUGGAAAAGAGUUCCUACAAAGGUUUUGGACAGUGAUUUUAACCCUAACGCCAAAAACCUUAAACCUUACCCUAGCCUUAAAAUCUACCUUCGGGCUACCUUCAGGAAGCCCGAACACCCCAAAUAUUUUUUUCUUCAUUUUACAUUUUUGUUGGUGUAACCAACUCCAAAAGGUUGGAAAAGAGUUCCUACAAAGGUUUUGGACAGUGAUAUUAACCCUAACGCCAAAAACCUUAAAACUUACCAUAGCCCCAUAACCUAAUUCCCAGGUAUUACCUUCAGGAAGCCCGAACACCCCAAAUAUUUUUUUUUUCAUUUUUCAUUCUUUUUUGGUCUAACCAACUCCAAAAGGUUGGAAAAGAGUUCCUACAAAGGUUUUGGACAGUGAUUUUAACCCUAACGCCAAAAACCUUAAACCUUACCAUAGCCCCAUAACCUAAUACCCGGGUAUUACUUUUAGGAAGCCUGAACACCCCAAAUAUUUUUUUUUCAUUUUUCUUUUUUUUUUGGUCUAACUAACUCCAAAAGGUUGGAAAAGAGUUCCUACAAAGGUUUUGGACAGUGAUUUUAACCCUAACGCCAAAAACCUUAAAACUUACCCUAGCCCCAUAACCUAAUACCCGGGUAUUACUUUCAGGAAGCCCGAAAACCCCAAAUAUAUUUUUUUUCAUUUUUCUUUUUUUUUUGGUCUAACUAACUCCAAAAGGUUGGAAAAGAGUUCCUACAAAGGUUUUGGACAGUGAUUUUAACCCUAACGCCAAAAACCUUAAACCUUUCCCCAGUCCCAAAACCUAAUACCCGGGUAUUACCUUCAGGAAGCCCGAACACCCCAAAUAUUUGUUUUUCAUUUUACAUUUUUGUUGGUGUAACCAACUCCAAAAGGUUGGAAAAGAGUUCCUACAAAGGUUUUGGACAGUGAUUUUAACCCUAACGCCAAAAAACUUAAACCUUACCAUAGCUCCAUAACCUAAUACCCUGGGUAUUACUUUUAGGAAGCCUGAACACCCCAAAUAUUUUUUUUUAUUUUUCUUUUUUUUUUGGUCUAACUAACUCCAAAAGGUUGGAAAAGAGUUCCUACAAAGGUUUUGGACAGUGAUUUUAACCCUAACGCCAAAAAACUUAAACCUUACCCUAGCCCCAUAACCUAAUACCUGGGUAUUACUUUUAGGAAGCCUGAACACCCCAAAUAUUUUUUUUUUCAUUUUUCAUUUUUUUUUGGUCUAACCAACUCCAAAAGGUUGGAAAAGAGUUCCUACAAAGGUUUUGGACAGUGAUUUUAACCCUAACGCCAAAAACCUUAAACCUUACCGUAGCCUUAAAAUCUAAUACCCGGGUAUUACUUUCAGGAAGCCCGAACACCCCAAAUAUUUUUUUUUUCAUUUUACAUUUUUUUUGGUGUAACCAACUCCAAAAGGUUGGAAAAGAGUUCCUACAAAGGUUUUGGACAGUGAUUUUAACCCUAACGCCAAAAACCUUAAACCUUACCCUAGCCUUAAAAUCUAAUACCCGGGUAUUACAUUCAGGAACCCCGAAAACCCCAAAUAUAUUUUUUUUCUUUUUUCAUUUUUUUUGGUCUAACUAACUCCAAAAGGUUGGAAAAGAGUUCCUACAAAGGUUUUGGACAGUGAUUUUAACCCUAACGCCAAAAACCUUAAACCUUACCCUAGCCUUAAAAUCUACCUUCGGGCUACCUUCAGGAAGCCCGAACACCCCAAAUAUUUUUUUCUUCAUUUUACAUUUUUGUUGGUGUAACCAACUCCAAAAGGUUGGAAAAGAGUUCCUACAAAGGUUUUGGACAGUGAUUUUAACCCUAACGCCAAAAACCUUAAACCUUACCCUAGCCUUGAAAUCUAAUACCCGGGUAUUACCUUCAGGAAGCCUGAACACCCCAAAUAUUUUUUUCUUUUUUCAUAUUUUUUGGUCUAACUAACUCCAAAAGGUUGGAAAAGAGUUCCUACAAAGGUUUUGGACAGUGAUUUUAACCCUAACGCCAAAAACCUUAAACCUUUCCCCAGUCCCAAAACCUAAUACCCGGGUAUUACCUUCAGGAAGCCCGAACACCCCAAAUAUUUUUUUUUCAUUUUACAUUUUUUUUGGUCUAACUAACUCCAAAAGGUUGGAAAAGAGUUCCUACAAAGGUUUUGGACAGUGAUUUUAACCCUAACGCCAAAAACCUUAAACCUUUCCCCAGUCCCAAAACCUAAUACCCGGGUAUUACCUUCAGGAAGCCCGAACACCCCAAAUAUUUUUUUUUCAUUUUACAUUUUUUUUGGUCUAACUAACUCCAAAAGGUUGGAAAAGAGUUCCUACAAAGGUUUUGGACAGUGAUUUUAACCCUAACGCCAAAAACCUUAAACCUUACCCUAGCCUUAAAAUCUAAUACCCGGGUAUUACAUUCAGGAAGCCCGAAAACCCCAAAUAUUGUUUUUUCAUUUUUCAUUUUUUUUGGUCUAACUAACUCCAAAAGGUUGGAAAAGAGUUCCUACAAAGGUUUUGGACAGUGAUUUUAACCCUAACGCCAAAAACCUUAAACCUUACCCUAGCCUUAAAAUCUACCUUCGGGCUACCUUCAGGAAGCCCGAACACCCCAAAUAUUUUUUUCUUCAUUUUACAUUUUUGUUGGUGUAACCAACUCCAAAAGGUUGGAAAAGAGUUCCUACAAAGGUUUUGGACAGUGAUUUUAACCCUAACGCCAAAAACCUUAAACCUUACCCUAGCCUUGAAAUCUAAUACCCGGGUAUUACCUUCAGGAAGCCUGAACACCCCAAAUAUUUUUUUCAUUUUUCAUAUUUUUUGGUCUAACUAACUCCAAAAGGUUGGAAAAGAGUUCCUACAAAGGUUUUGGACAGUGAUUUUAACCCUAACGCCAAAAACCUUAAACCUUUCCCCAGUCCCAAAACCUAAUACCCGGGUAUUACCUUCAGGAAGCCCGAACACCCCAAAUAUUUGUUUUUCAUUUUACAUUUUUGUUGGUGUAACCAACUCCAAAAGGUUGGAAAAGAGUUCCUACAAAGGUUUUGGACAGUGAUUUUAACCCUAACGCCAAAAACCUUAAACCUUACCCCAGUCCCAAAACCUAAUACCCGGGUAUUACCUUCAGGAAGCCCGAACACCCCAAAUAUUUUUUUUUCAUUUUACAUUUUUGUUGGUGUAACUAACUCCAAAAGGUUGGAAAAGAGUUCCUACAAAGGUUUUGGACAGUGAUUUUAACCCUAAUGCCAAAAAACUUAAACCUUACCCUAGCCUUGAAAUCUAAUACCCGGGUAUUACCUUCAGGAAGCCUGAACACCCCAAAUAUUUUUUUCUUCAUUUUUCAUUUUUUUUUUUGGUCUAACCAACUCCAAAAGGUUGGAAAAGAGUUCCUACAAAGGUUUUGGACAGUGAUUUUAACCCUAACGCCAAAAAACCUUAAACCUUACCCUAGCCUCAAAAUCUAAUACCCGGGUAUUACAUUCAGGAACCCCGAAAACCCCAAAUAUUGUUUUUUAAUUUUUCAUUUUUUUUUGGUCUAACUAACUCCAAAAGGUUGGAAAAGAGUUCCUACAAAGGUUUUGGACAGUGAUUUUAACCCUAACGCCAAAAAACUUAAACCUUACCAUAGCCCCAUAACCUAAUACCUGGGUAUUACUUUUAGGAAGCCUGAACACCCCAAAUAUUUUUUUUUCAUUUUUCUUUUUUUUUUGGUCUAACCAACUCCAAAAGGUUGGAAAAGAGUUCCUACAAAGGUUUUGGACAGUGAUUUUAACCCUAACGCCAAAAAACUUAAACCUUACCCUGGCCUUAAAAUCUAAUACCUGGGUAUUACUUUCAGGAAGCCCGAACACCCCAAAUAUUUUUUUUUUUUCAUUUUUCUUUUUUUUUUUGGUCUAACUAACUCCAAAAGGUUGGAAAAGAGUUCCUACAAAGGUUUUGGACAGUGAUUUUAACCCUAAUGCCAAAAAACUUAAACCUUACCCUAGCCUUAAAAUCUAAUACCCGGGUAUUACAUUCAGGAAGAAAACCCCAAAUAUUGUUUUUUCAUUUUUCAUUUUUUUUUUGGUCUAACUAACUCCAAAAGGUUGGAAAAGAGUUCCUACAAAGGUUUUGGACAGUGAUUUUAACCCUAACGCCAAAAACCUUAAACCUUACCAUAGCCCCAUAACCUAAUACCCGGGUAUUACUUUUAGGAAGCCUGAACACCCCAAAUAUUUUUUUUUCAUUUUUUUUUUUUUUUUGGUCUAACUAACUCCAAAAGGUUGGAAAAGAGUUCCUACAAAGGUUUUGGACAGUGAUUUUAACCCUAACGCCAAAAAACUUAAACCUUACCCGAGCCUUAAAAUCUAAUACCGGGUAUUACCUUCAGGAAGCCCGAACACCCCAAAUAUUUUUUUUUCAUUUUACAUUUUUUUUGGUCUAACCAACUCCAAAAGGUUGGAAAAGAGUUCCUACAAAGGUUUUGGACAGUGAUUUUAACCCUAACGCCAAAAACCUUAAACCUUACCCUAGCCUUGAAAUCUAAUACCCGGGUAUUACCUUCAGGAAGCCUGAACACCCCAAAUAUUUUUUUUUUUUUUUCAUUUUUUUUGGUCUAACUAACUCCAAAAGGUUGGAAAAGAGUUCCUACAAAGGUUUUGGACAGUGAUUUUAACCCUAACGCCAAAAAACUUAAACCUUACCCUAGCCUUAAAAUCUAAUACCCGGGUAUUACCUUCAGGAAGCCCGAACACCCCAAAUAUUUUUUUUUCAUUUUACUUUUUUGUUGGUCUAACCAACUCCAAAAGGUUGGAAAAGAGUUCCUACAAAGGUUUUGGACAGUGAUUUUAACCCUAACGCCAAAAAACUUAAACCUUACCCUAGCCUUAAAAUCUAAUUCCCGGGUAUUACCUUCAGGAAGCCCAAACACCCCAAAUAUUUUUUUUUUCAUUUUACAUUUUUGUUGGUGUAACCAACUCCAAAAGGUUGGAAAAGAGUUCCUACAAAGGUUUUGGACAGUGAUUUUAACCCUAACGCCAAAAACCUUAAACCUUUCCCUAGCCCCAAAACUUAAUACUCGGGUAUUACUUCCAGGAAGCCCGAAAACCCCAAAUAUUUUUUUUUUCAUUUUUCAUUUUUGUUGGUGUAACCAACUCCAAAAGGUUGGAAAAGAGUUCCUACAAAGGUUUUGGACAGUGAUUUUAACCCUAACGCCAAAAAACUUAAACCUUACCCUAGCCUUAAAAUCUAAUACCCGGGUAUUACAUUCAGGAAGCCCGAAAACCCCAAAUAUAUAUUUUUUCAUUUUUCAUUUUUUUUUGGUCUAACUAACUCCAAAAGGUUGGAAAAGAGUUCCUACAAAGGUUUUGGACAGUGAUUUUAACCCUAACGCCAAAAAACUUAAACCUUACCCUAGCCUUAAAAUCUAAUACCCAGGUUACAUUCAGGAAGCCCGAAAACCCCAAAUAUUUUUUUUUCAUUUUUCAUUUUUUUUUUGGUCUAACUAACUCCAAAAGGUUGGAAAAGAGUUCCUACAAAGGUUUUGGACAGUGAUUUUAACCCUAACGCCAAAAACCUUAAACCUUACCAUAGCCCCAUAACCUAAUACCCAGGUAUUACUUUUAGGAAGCCUGAACACCCCAAAUAUUUUUUUUUCAUUUUUCAUUUUUUUUUGGUCUAACUAACUCCAAAAGGUUGGAAAAGAGUUCCUACAAAGGUUUUGGACAGUGAUUUUAACCCUAACGCCAAAAAACUUAAACCUUACCCUAGCCUUAAAAUCUAAUACCCGGGUAUUACCUUCAGGAAGCCCGAACACCCCAAAUAUUUUUUUUUUCAUUUUACAUUUUUUUUGGUCUAACCAACUCCAAAAGGUUGGAAAAGAGUUCCUACAAAGGUUUUGGACAGUGAUUUUAACCCUAACGCCAAAAACCUUAAACCUUACCCUAGCCUUGAAAUCUAAUACCCGGGUAUUACCUUCAGGAAGCCUGAACACCCCAAAUAUUUUUUUUUCUUUUUUCAUAUUUUUUGGUCUAACUAACUCCAAAAGGUUGGAAAAGAGUUCCUACAAAGGUUUUGGACAGUGAUUUUAACCCUAACGCCAAAAAACCUUAAACCUUACCCUAGCCCCAAAAUCUAAUACCCGGGUAUUACCUUCAGGAAGCCGAAACACCCCAAAUAUUUUUUUGUUCAUUUUUCUUUUUUUUUUGGUCUAACUAACUCCAAAAGGUUGGAAAAGAGUUCCUACAAAGGUUUUGGACAGUGAUUUUAACCCUAACGCCAAAAAACUUAAACCUUACCCUAGCCUUAAAAUCUAAUACCCGGGUAUUACCUUCAGGAAGCCCAAACACCCCAAAUAUUUUUUUUUCAUUUUACUUUUUUGUUGUUGUAACCAACUCCAAAAGGUUGGAAAAGAGUUCCUACAAAGGUUUUGGACAGUGAUUUUAACCCUAACGCCAAAAACCUUAAACCUUACCCUAGUCCCAAAACCUAAUACCCGGGUAUUACUUUCAGGGAGCCCGAAAACCCCCAAUAAUUUUUUUUUCUUUUUUCAUUUUUGUUGGUGUAACCAACUCCAAAAGGUUGGAAAAGAGUUCCUACAAAGGUUUUGGACAGUGAUUUUAACCCUAACGCCAAAAAACUUAAACCUUACCCUAGCCUUAAAAUCUAAUACCCGGGUAUUACAUUCAGGAAGCCCGAAAACCCCAAAUAUAUAUUUUUUCAUUUUUCAUUUUUUUUUGGUUUAACUAACUCCAAAAGGUUGGAAAAGAGUUCCUACAAAGGUUUUGGACAGUGAUUUUAACCCUAACGCCAAAAAACUUAAACCUUACCCUAGCCUUAAAAUCUAAUACCCGGGUAUUACAUUCAGGAAGCCCGAAAACCCCAAAUAUAUAUUUUUUCAUUUUUCAUUUUUUUUUGGUUAACUAACUCCAAAAGGUUGGAAAGAGUUCCUACAAAGGUUUUGGACAGUGAUUUUAACCCUAACGCCAAAAAACUUAAACCUUACCCUAGCCUUAAAAUCUAAUACCCGGGUAUUACAUUCAGGAAGCCCGAAAACCCCAAAUAUUUUUUUUCAUUUUUCUUUUUUUUUGGUCUAACUAACUCCAAAAGGUUGGAAAAGAGUUCCUACAAAGGUUUUGGACAGUGAUUUUAACCCUAACGCCAAAAACCUUAAACCUUACCCAGCCCCAAAACCUAAUACCCGGGUAUUACCUUCAGGAAGCCCGAACACCCCAAAUAUUUGUUUUUCAUUUUCAUUUUUGUUGGUGUAACCAACUCCAAAAGGUUGGAAAAGAGUUCCUACAAAGGUUUUGGACAGUGAUUUUAACCCUAAUGCCAAAAAACUUAAACCUUACCCUAGCCUCAAAAUCUAAUACCCGGGUAUUACCUUCAGGAAGCCUGAACACCCAAAAUAUUUUAUUCUUCAUCUUACAUUUUUGUUGGUGUAACCAACUCCAAAAGGUUGGAAAAGAGUUCCUACAAAGGUUUUGGACAGUGAUUUUAACCCUAACGCCAAAAAACUUAAACCUUACCCUAGCCUCAAAAUCUAAUACCCGGGUAUUACAUUCAGGAAGCCUGAACACCCCAAAUAUUUUUUUUUCAUUUUUCAUUUUUUUUGGUCUAACUAACUCCAAAAGGUUGGAAAAGAGUUCCUACAAAGGUUUUGGACAGUGAUUUUAACCCUAACGCCAAAAACCUUAAACCUUACCAUGGCCCCAUAACCUAAUACCCGGGUAUUACUUUUAGGAAGCCUGAACACCCCAAAUAUAUUUUUUUUUCAUUUUAAGUUUUUUUUUUUGGUGUAACUAACUCCAAAAGGUUGGAAAAGAGUUCCUACAAAGGUUUUGGACAGUGAUUUUAACCCUAACGCCAAAAAACUUAAACCUUACCCUAGCCUUAAAAUCUAAUACCCGGGUAUUACAUUCAGGAAGCCAGAACACCCCAAAUAUUUUUUUCUUCAUUUUACAUUUUUGUUGGUGUAACCAACUCCAAAAGGUUGGAAAAGAGUUCCUACAAAGGUUUUGGACAGUGAUUUUAACCCUAAUGCCAAAAAACUUAAACCUUACCCUAGCCUCAAAAUCUAAUACCCGGGUAUUACAUUCAGGAACCCCGAAAACCCCAAAUAUUGUUUUUUAAUUUUUCAUUUUUUUUUGGUCUAACUAACUCCAAAAGGUUGGAAAAGAGUUCCUACAAAGGUUUUGGACAGUGAUUUUAACCCUAACGCCAAAAACCUUAAACCUUACCCUAGCCCCAUAACCUAAUUCCCGGGUAUUACCUUCAGGAAGCCCGAACACCCCAAAUAUUUGUUUUUCAUUUUACAUUUUUGUUGGUGUAACCAACUCCAAAAGGUUGGAAAAGAGUUCCUACAAAGGUUUUGGACAGUGAUUUUAACCCUAACCCCUAAAAAUUUAAACCUUACCCUGGCAUUAAAAUCUAAUACCCGGGUAUUACAUUAAGGAAGCCUGAACACCCCAAAUAUUUUUUUUUUCAUUUUUCUUUUUUUUUGGUCUAACUAACUCCAAAAGGUUGGAAAAGAGUUCCUACAAAGGUUUUGGACAGUGAUUUUAACCCUAACGCCAAAAACCUUAAACCUUUCCCUAGUCCCAAAACCUAAUACCCGGGUAUUACUUUCAGGGAGCCCGAAAACCCCCAAUAAUAUUUUUUUCUUUUUUCAUAUUUUUUGGUCUAACUAACUCCAAAAGGUUGGAAAAGAGUUCCUACAAAGGUUUUGGACAGUGAUUUUAACCCUAACGCCAAAAACCUUAAACCUUACCCUAGCCUUAAAAUCUACCUUCGGGCUACCUUCAGGAAGCCCGAACACCCCAAAUAUUUUUUUCUUCAUUUUACAUUUUUGUUGGUGUAACCAACUCCAAAAGGUUGGAAAAGAGUUCCUACAAAGGUUUUGGACAGUGAUAUUAACCUUAACGCCAAAAACCUUAAAACUUACCAUAGCCCCAUAACCUAAUUCCCAGGUAUUACCUUCAGGAAGCCCGAACACCCCAAAUAUUUUUUUUUCAUUUUUCAUUCUUUUUUGGUCUAAUCAACUCCAAAAGGUUGGAAAAGAGUUCCUACAAAGGUUUAUGACAGUGAUUUUAACCCUAACGCCAAAAACCUUAAACCUUACCAUAGCCCCAUAACCUAAUACCUGGAUAUUACUUUUAGGAAGCCUGAACACCCCAAAUAUUUUUUUUUCAUUUUUCUUUUUUUUUUGUCAAACUAACUCCAAAAGGUUGGAAAUGUUCCUACAAAGGUUUUGGACAGUGAUUUUAACCCUAACGCCAAAAACCUUAAAACUUACCCUAGCCCCAUAACCUAAUACCCGGGUAUUACAUUCAGGAAGCCCGAAAACCCCAAAUAUAUAUUUUUUCAUUUUUCUUUUUUUUUCGGUCAAACUAACUCCAAAAGGUUGGAAAAGAGUUCCUACAAAGGUUUUGGACAGUGAUUUUAACCCUAACGCCAAAAACCUUAAACCUUUCCCCAGUCCCAAAACCUAAUACCCGGGUAUUACCUUCAGGAAGCCCGAACACCCCAAAUAUUUGUUUUUCAUUUUACAUUUUUGUUGGUGUAACCAACUCCAAAAGGUUGGAAAAGAGUUCCUACAAAGGUUUUGGACAGUGAUUUUAACCCUAAUGCCAAAAAACUUAAACCUUACCCUAGCCUUGAAAUCUAAUACCCGGGUAUUACCUUCAGGAAGCCUGAACACCCCAAAUAUUUUUUUCUUUUUUCAUAUUUUUUGGUCUAACUAACUCCAAAAGGUUGGAAAAGAGUUCCUACAAAGGUUUUGGACAGUGAUUUUAACCCUAACGCCAAAAACCUUAAACCUUACCCUAGCCUUGAAAUCUAAUACCCGGGUAUUACCUUCAGGAAGCCUGAACACCCAAAAUAUUUUUUUCUUCAUCUUACAUUUUUGUUGGUGUAACCAACUCCAAAAGGUUGGAAAAGAGUUCCUACAAAGGUUUUGGACAGUGAUUUUAACCCUAAUGCCAAAAAACUUAAACCUUACCCUAGCCUCAAAAUCUAAUACCCGGGUAUUACAUUCAGGAACCCCGAAAACCCCAAAUAUUUUUUUUUAAUUUUUCAUUUUUUUUGGUCUAACUAACUCCAAAAGGUUGGAAAAGAGUUCCUACAAAGGUUUUGGACAGUGAUUUUAACCCUAACGCCAAAAAACUUAAACCUUACCAUAGCUCCAUAACCUAAUACCCUGGGUAUUACUUUUAGGAAGCCUGAACACCCCAAAUAUUUUUUUUUUUUCAUUUUUUUGGUCUAACUAACUCCAAAAGGUUGGAAAAGUGUUCCUACAAAGGUUUUGGACAGUGAUUUUAACCCUAACGCCAAAAAACUUAAACCUUACCAUAGCCCCAUAACCUAAUACCUGGGUAUUACUUUUAGGAAGCCUGAACACCCCAAAUAUUUUUUUUUCAUUUUUCUUUUUUUUUUGGUCUAACCAACUCCAAAAGGUUGGAAAAGUGUUCCUACAAAGGUUUUGGACAGUGAUUUUAACCCUAACGCCAAAAACCUUAAACCUUACACUAGCCUUAAAAUCUAAUACCUGGGUAUUACUUUCAGGAAGCCCGAACACCCCAAAUAUUUUUUUUUUCAUUUUACAUUUUUUUUGGUGUAACCAACUCCAAAAGGUUGGAAAAGAGUUCCUACAAAGGUUUUGGACAGUGAUUUUAACCCUAAUGUCAAAAACCUUAAACCUUACCCUAGCCUUAAAAUCUAAUACCCGGGUAUUACAUUCAGGAACCCCGAAAACCCCAAAUAUUGUUUUUUCUUUUUUCAUUUUUUUUUGGUCUAACUAACUCCAAAAGGUUGGAAAAGAGUUCCUACAAAGGUUUUGGACAGUGAUUUUAACCCUAACGCCAAAAACCUUAAACCUUACCCUAGCCUUAAAAUCUACCUUCGGGCUACCUUCAGGAAGCCCGAACACCCCAAAUAUUUUUUUCUUCAUUUUACAUUUUUGUUGGUGUAACCAACUCCAAAAGGUUGGAAAAGAGUUCCUACAAAGGUUUUGGACAGUGAUUUUAACCCUAACGCCAAAAACCUUAAACCUUACCCUAGCCUUGAAAUCUAAUACCCGGGUAUUACCUUCAGGAAGCCUGAACACCCCAAAUAUUUUUUUCUUUUUUCAUAUUUUUUGGUCUAACUAACUCCAAAAGGUUGGAAAAGAGUUCCUACAAAGGUUUUGGACAGUGAUUUUAACCCUUACGCCAAAAACCUUAAACCUUUCCCCAGUCCCAAAACCUAAUACCCGGGUAUUACCUUCAGGAAGCCCGAACACCCCAAAUAUUUGUUUUUCAUUUUACAUUUUUGUUGGUGUAACCAACUCCAAAAGGUUGGAAAAGAGUUCCUACAAAGGUUUUGGACAGUGAUUUUAACCCUAACGCCAAAAACCUUAAACCUUUCCCCAGUCCCAAAACCUAAUACCCGGGUAUUACCUUCAGGAAGCCCGAACACCCCAAAUAUUUGUUUUUCAUUUUACAUUUUUUUUGGUGUAACCAACUCCAAAAGGUUGGAAAAGAGUUCCUACAAAGGUUUUGGACAGUGAUUUUAACCCUAAUGCCAAAAACCUUAAACCUUACCCUAGCCUUAAAAUCUAAUACCCGGGUAUUACAUUCAGGAACCCCGAAAACCCCAAAUAUUGUUUUUUCUUUUUUCAUUUUUUUUUGGUCUAACUAACUCCAAAAGGUUGGAAAAGUGUUCCUACAAAGGUUUUGGACAGUGAUUUUAACCCUAACGCCAAAAACCUUAAACCUUACCCUAGCCUUAAAAUCUACCUUCGGGCUACCUUCAGGAAGCCCGAACACCCCAAAUAUUUUUUUCUUCAUUUUACAUUUUUGUUGGUGUAACCAACUCCAAAAGGUUGGAAAAGAGUUCCUACAAAGGUUUUGGACAGUGAUUUUAACCCUAACGCCAAAAACCUUAAACCUUACCCUAGCCUUGAAAUCUAAUACCCGGGUAUUACCUUCAGGAAGCCUGAACACCCCAAAUAUUUUUUCUUUUUUCAUAUUUUUUGGUCUAACUAACUCCAAAAGGUUGGAAAAGAGUUCCUACAAAGGUUUUGGACAGUGAUUUUAACCCUAACGCCAAAAACCUUAAACCUUUCCCCAGUCCCAAAACCUAAUACCCGGGUAUUACCUUCAGGAAGCCCGAACACCCCAAAUAUUUGUUUUUCAUUUUACAUUUUUGUUGUUGUAACCAACUCCAAAAGGUUGGAAAAGAGUUCCUACAAAGGUUUUGGACAGUGAUUUUAACCCUAACGCCAAAAACCUUAAACCUUUCCCCAGUCCCAAAACCUAAUACCCGGGUAUUACCUUCAGGAAGCCCGAACACCCCAAAUAUUUGUUUUUCAUUUUACAUUUUUGUUGGUGUAACCAACUCCAAAAGGUUGGAAAAGAGUUCCUACAAAGGUUUUGGACAGUGAUUUUAACCCUAAUGCCAAAAAACUUAAACCUUACCCUAGCCUUGAAAUCUAAUACCCGGGUAUUACCUUCAGGAAGCCUGAACACCCAAAAUAUUUUUUUCUUCAUCUUACAUUUUUGUUGGUGUAACCAACUCCAAAAGGUUGGAAAAGAGUUCCUACAAAGGUUUUGGACAGUGAUUUUAACCCUAAUGCCAAAAAACUUAAACCUUACCCUAGCCUCAAAAUCUAAUACCCGGGUAUUACAUUCAGGAACCCCGAAAACCCCAAAUAUUGUUUUUUAAUUUUUCAUUUUUUUUUGGUCUAACUAACUCCAAAAGGUUGGAAAAGAGUUCCUACAAAGGUUUUGGACAGUGAUUUUAACCCUAACGCCAAAAAACUUAAACCUUACCAUAGCCCCAUAACCUAAUACCUGGGUAUUACUUUUAGGAAGCCUGAACACCCCAAAUAUUUUUUUUUCAUUUUUCUUUUUUUUUUGGUCUAACCAACUCCAAAAGGUUGGAAAAGUGUUCCUACAAAGGUUUUGGACAGUGAUUUUAACCCUAACGCCAAAAAACUUAAACCUUACCCUGGCCUUAAAAUCUAAUACCUGGGUAUUACUUUCAGGAAGCCCGAACACCCCAAAUAUUUUUUUUUUUCAUUUUACAUUUUUUUUGGUGUAACCAACUCCAAAAGGUUGGAAAAGAGUUCCUACAAAGGUUUUGGACAGUGAUUUUAACCCUAAUGCCAAAAAACUUAAACCUUACCCUAGCCUUAAAAUCUAAUACCCGGGUAUUACAUUCAGGAACCCCGAAAACCCCAAAUAUUGUUUUUUCAUUUUUCAUUUUUUUUUUGGUCUAACUAACUCCAAAAGGUUGGAAAAGAGUUCCUACAAAGGUUUUGGACAGUGAUUUUAACCCUAACGCCAAAAACCUUAAACCUUACCAUAGCCCCAUAACCUAAUACCCAGGUAUUACUUUUAGGAAGCCUGAACACCCCAAAUAUUUUUUUUUCAUUUUUCUUUUUUUUUGGUCUAACUAACUCCAAAAGGUUGGUAAAGAGUUCCUACAAAGGUUUUGGACAGUGAUUUUAACCCUAACGCCAAAAAACUUAACCCUUACCCGAGCCUUAAAAUCUAAUACAUUACCUUCAGGAAGCCCGAACACCCCAAAUAUUUUUUUUUUCAUUUUACAUUUUUUUUGGUGGAACCAACUCCAAAAGGUUGGAAAAGAGUUCCUACAAAGGUUUUGGACAGUGAUUUUAACCCUAACGCCAAAAACCUUAAACCUUACCCUAGCCUUGAAAUCUAAUACCCGGGUAUUACCUUCAGGAAGCCUGAACACCCCAAAUUUUUUUUUCUUUUUUCAUAUUUUUUGGUCUAACUAACUCCAAAAGGUUGGAAAAGAGUUCCUACAAAGGUUUUGGGACAGUGAUUGUAACCCUAACGCCAAAAAACUUAAACCUUACCCUAGCCUUAAAAUCUAAUACCCGGGUAUUACCUUCAGGAAGCCCAAACACCCCAAAUAUUUUUUUUUCAUUUUACUUUUUUGUUGUUGUAACCAACUCCAAAUGGUUGGAAAAGAGUUCCUACAAAGGUUUUGGACAGUGAUUGUAACCCUAACGCCAAAAAACUUAAACCUUACCCUAGCCUUAAAAUCUAAUACCCGGGUAUUACCUUCAGGAAGCCCAAACACCCCAAAUAUUUUUUUUUCAUUUUACUUUUUUGUUGUUGUAACCAACUCCAAAAGGUUGGAAAAGAGUUCCUACAAAGGUUUUGGACAGUGAUUUUAACCCUAACGCCAAAAACCUUAAACCUUUCCCUAGUCCCAAAACCUAAUACCCGGGUAUUACUUUCAGGGAGCCCGAAAACCCCCAAUAAUUUUUUUUUCUUUUUUCAUUUUUGUUGGUGUAACCAACUCCAAAAGGUUGGAAAAGAGUUCCUACAAAGGUUUUGGACAGUGAUUUUAACCCUAACGCCAAAAAACUUAAACCUUACCCUAGCCUUAAAAUCUAAUACCCGGGUAUUACAUUCAGGAAGCCCGAAAACCCCAAAUAUAUAUUUUUUCAUUUUUCAUUUUUUUUUUGGUUUAACUAACUCCAAAAGGUUGGAAAAGAGUUCCUACAAAGGUUUUGGACAGUGAUUUUAACCCUAACGCCAAAAAACUUAAACCUUACCCUAGCCUUAAAAUCUAAUACCCGGGUAUUACAUUCAGGAAGCCCGAAAACCCCAAAUAUAUAUUUUUUCAUUUUUCAUUUUUUUUUGGUUUAUCUAAUUCCAAAAGGUUGGAAGAGUGUUCCUACAAAGGUUUUGGACAGGGAUUUUAACCCUAACGCCAAAAAACUUAAACCUUACUCUAGCCUUAAAAUCUAAUACCCGGGUAUUACAUUCAUGAAGCCCGAAAACCCCAAAUAUAUAUUUUUUCAUUUUUCUUUUUUUUUUGGUCAAACUAACUCCAAAAGGUUGGAAAAGAGUUCCUACAAAGGUUUUGGACAGUGAUUUUAACCCUAACGCCAAAAACCUUAAACCUUUCCCCAGUCCCAAAACCUAAUACCCGGGUAUUACCUUCAGGAAGCCGGAACACCCCAAAUAUUUGUUUUUCAUUUUACAUUUUUGUUGGUGUAACCAACUCCAAAAGGUUGGAAAAGAGUUCCUACAAAGGUUUUGGACAGUGAUUUUAACCCUAAUGCCAAAAAACUUAAACCUUACCCUAGCCUCAAAAUCUAAUACCCGAGUAUUACCUUCAGGAAGCCUGAACACCCAAAAUAUUUUUUUCUUCAUCUUACAUUUUUGUUGGUGUAACCAACUCCAAAAGGUUGGAAAAGAGUUCCUACAAAGGUUUUGGACAGUGAUUUUAACCCUAAUGCCAAAAAACUUAAACCUUACCCUAGCCUCAAAAUCUAAUACCCGGGUAUUACAUUAAGGAAGCCUGAACACCCCAAAUAUUUUUUUUUCAUUUUUCAUUUUUUUUGGUCUAACUAAGUCCAAAAGGUUGGAAAAGAGUUCCUACAAAGGUUUUGGACAGUGAUUUUAACCCUAACGCCAAAAACCUUAAACCUUACCAUGGCCCCAUAACCUAAUACCCGGGUAUUACUUUUAGGAAGCCUGAACACCCCAAAUAUAUAUUUUUUUCAUUUUAAGUUUUUGUUGGUGUAACCAACUCCAAAAGGUUGGAAAAGAGUUCCUACAAAGGUUUUGGACAGUGAUUGUAACCCUAACGCCAAAAAACUUAAACCUUACCCUAGCCUUAAAAUCUAAUACCCGGGUAUUACCUUCAGGAAGCCCAAACACCCCAAAUAUUUUUUUCAUUUUACUUUUUUGUUGUUGUAACCAACUCCAAAAGGUUGGAAAAGAGUUCCUACAAAGGUUUUGGACAGUGAUUUUAACCCUAACGCCAAAAACCUUAAACCUUUCCCUAGUCCCAAAACCUAAUACCCGGGUAUUACUUUCAGGGAGCCCGAAAACCCCCAAUAAUUUUUUUUUCUUUUUUCAUUUUUUUUGGUGUAACCAACUCCAAAAGGUUGGAAAAGAGUUCCUACAAAGGUUUUGGACAGUGAUUUUAACCCUAACGCCAAAAAACUUAAACCUUACCCUAGCCUUAAAAUCUAAUACCGGGGUAUUACCUUCAGGAAGCCCGAACACCCCAAAUAUUUUUUUGUUCAUUUUACAUUUUUGUUGGUGUAACCAACUCCAAAAGGUUGGAAAAGAGUUCCUACAAAGGUUUUGGACAGUGAUUUUAACCCUAACGCCAAAAAACUUAAACCUUACCCUAGCCUUAAAAUCUAAUACCCGGGUAUUACAUUCAGGAAGCCCGAAAACCCCAAAUAUAUAUUUUUUCAUUUUUCAUUUUUUUUUUGGUUUAUCUAAUUCCAAAAGGUUGGAAAAGUGUUCCUACAAAGGUUUUGGACAGGGAUUUUAACCCUAACGCCAAAAAACUUAAACCUUACCCUAGCCUUAAAAUCUAAUACCCGGGUAUUACAUUCAGGAAGCCCGAAAACCCCAAAUAUAUAUUUUUUCAUUUUUCUUUUUUUUUCGGUCAAACUAACUCCAAAAGGUUGGAAAAGAGUUCCUACAAAGGUUUUGGACAGUGAUUUUAACCCUAACGCCAAAAACCUUAAACCUUUCCCCAGUCCCAAAACCUAAUACCCGGGUAUUACCUUCAGGAAGCCGGAACACCCCAAAUAUUUGUUUUUCAUUUUACAUUUUUGUUGGUGUAACCAACUCCAAAAGGUUGGAAAAGAGUUCCUACAAAGGUUUUGGACAGUGAUUUUAACCCUAAUGCCAAAAAACUUAAACCUUACCCUAGCCUCAAAAUCUAAUACCCGGGUAUUACAUUCAGGAACCCCGAAAUCCCCAAAUAUUGUUUUUUAAUUUUUCAUUUUUUUUUGUCUAACUAACUCCAAAAGGUUGGAAAAGAGUUCCUACAAAGGUUUUGGACAGUGAUUUUAACCCUAACGCCAAAAAACUUAAACCUUACCAUAGCCCCAUAACCUAAUACCUGGGUAUUACUUUUAGGAAGCCUGAACACCCCAAAUAUUUUUUUUUCAUUUUUCUUUUUUUUUUGGUCUAACCAACUCCAAAAGGUUGGAAAAGUGUUCCUACAAAGGUUUUGGACAGUGAUUUUAACCCUAACGCCAAAAAACUUAAACCUUACCCUGGCCUUAAAAUCUAAUACCUGGGUAUUACUUUCAGGAAGCCCGAACACCCCAAAUAUUUUUUUUUUUCAUUUUACAUUUUUUUUGGUGUAACCAACUCCAAAAGGUUGGAAAAGAGUUCCUACAAAGGUUUUGGACAGUGAUUUUAACCCUAAUGCCAAAAAACUUAAACCUUACCCUAGCCUUAAAAUCUAAUACCUGGGUAUUACAUUCAGGAACCCCGAAAACCCCAAAUAUUGUUUUUUCAUUUUUCAUUUUUUUUUGGUCUAACUAACUCCAAAAGGUUGGAAAAGAGUUCCUACAAAGGUUUUGGACAGUGAUUUUAACCCUAACGCCAAAAACCUUAAACCUUACCAUAGCCCCAUAACCUAAUACCCAGGUAUUACUUUUAGGAAGCCUGAACACCCCAAAUAUUUUUUUUUUCAUUUUACAUUUUUUUUUGGUGUAACCAACUCCAAAAGGUUGGAAAAGAGUUCCUACAAAGGUUUUGGACAGUGAUUUUAACCCUAACGCCAAAAACCUUAAACCUUACCCUAGCCUUGAAAUCUAAUACCCGGGUAUUACCUUCAGGAAGCCUGAACACCCCAAAUAUUUUUUUCUUUUUUCAUAUUUUUUGGUCUAACUAACUCCAAAAGGUUGGAAAAGAGUUCCUACAAAGGUUUUGGACAGUGAUUUUAACCCUAACGCCAAAAACCUUAAACCUUUCCCCAGUCCCAAAACCUAAUACCCGGGUAUUACCUUCAGGAAGCCCGAACACCCCAAAUAUUUGUUUUUCAUUUUACAUUUUUGUUGUUGUAACCAACUCCAAAAGGUUGGAAAAGAGUUCCUACAAAGGUUUUGGACAGUGAUUUUAACCCUAACGCCAAAAACCUUAAACCUUACCCUAGUCCCAAAACCUAAUACCCGGGUAUUACCUUCAGGAAGCCCGAACACCCCAAAUAUAUUUUUUUUCAUUUUACAUUUUUGUUGGUGUAACCAACUCCAAAAGGUUGGAAAAGAGUUCCUACAAAGGUUUUGGACAGUGAUUUUAACCCUAACGCCAAAAAACCUUAAACCUUACCCUAGCCUUGAAAUCUAAUACCCGGGUAUUACCUUCAGGAAGCCUGAACACCCAAAAUAUUUUUUUCUUCAUCUUACAUUUUUGUUGGUCUAACUAACUCCAAAAGGUUGGAAAAGAGUUCCUACAAAGGUUUUGGACAGUGAUUUUAACCCUAAUGCCAAAAAACUUAAACCUUACCCUAGCCUCAAAAUCUAAUACCCGGGUAUUACAUUCAGGAACCCCGAAAACCCCAAAUAUUGUUUUUUAAUUUUUCAUUUUUUUUUGGUCUAACUAACUCCAAAAGGUUGGAAAAGAGUUCCUACAAAGGUUUUGGACAGUGAUUUUAACCCUAACGCCAAAAAACUUAAACCUUACCAUAGCCCCAUAACCUAAUACCUGGGUAUUACUUUUAGGAAGCCUGAACACCCCAAAUAUUUUUUUUUCAUUUUUCUUUUUUUUUUGGUCUAACCAACUCCAAAAGGUUGGAAAAGUGUUCCUACAAAGGUUUUGGACAGUGAUUUUAACCCUAACGCCAAAAAACUUAAACCUUACCCUGGCCUUAAAAUAAUACCUGGGUAUUACUUUCAGGAAGCCCGAACACCCCAAAUAUUUUUUUUUCAUUUUACAUUUUUUUUGGUGUAACCAACUCCAAAAGGUUGGAAAAGAGUUCCUACAAAGGUUUUGGACAGUGAUUUUAACCCUAAUGCCAAAAAACUUAAACCUUACCCUAGCCUUAAAAUCUAAUACCCGGGUAUUACAUUCAGGAACCCCGAAAACCCCAAAUAUUGUUUUUUCAUUUUUCAUUUUUUUUUGGUCUAACUAACUCCAAAAGGUUGGAAAAGAGUUCCUACAAAGGUUUUGGACAGUGAUUUUAACCCUAACGCCAAAAACCUUAAACCUUACCAUAGCCCCAUAACCUAAUACCCAGGUAUUACUUUUAGGAAGCCUGAACACCCCAAAUAUUUUUUUUUCAUUUUUCUUUUUUUUUUUGGUCUAACUAACUCCAAAAGGUUGGAAAAGAGUUCCUACAAAGGUUUUGGACAGUGAUUUUAACCCUAACGCCAAAAACUUAAACCUUACCAUAGCCCCAAAACCUAAUACCCGGGUAUUACUUUCAGGAAGCCCGAACACCCCAAAUAUUUUUUUUUCAUUUUACAUUUUUUUUGGUGUAACCAACUCCAAAAGGUUGGAAAAGAGUUCCUACAAAGGUUUUGGACAGUGAUUUUAACCCUAACGCCAAAAACCUUAAACCUUACCCUAGCCUUGAAAUCUAAUACCCGGGUAUUACCUUCAGGAAGCCUGAACACCCCAAAUAUUUUUUUCUUUUUUCAUAUUUUUUGGUCUAACUAACUCCAAAAGGUUGGAAAAGAGUUCCUACAAAGGUUUUGGACAGUGAUUUUAACCCUAACGCCAAA